AACAGUUAGUGGUGUCAAGGGACUAGUCAUUCAUUGCCCAGAAGGAAAAAAACAAAACAAAACAAAACACAAGAGUCUUUAAGGGUCCUUACUCUCAAGAAUGCUCUUCACUGUUUAAUACAGAGAGGAUUUGCUUUGUACUUCCGAAAAAAUAAGUAUGAAAGAUAUCGUCCCUUUCCAGCAUUUUGGAGUAGUAAAUAUCCAAAUGGAACAAAGUACUUCAGGCUUCUCUCUUGACCCUUUGCCAUCUUCCACACUGACACAUGUUCACAUGCUCUACAUAUUUAUUUUUUAAGGCCAUUUCCCAAGUCAGAAGGUCCUCCUUUUCCUCUUUUCCCAUCCCUCUUGCCACUCUGAUCAUGGAAAAUCAACUGUUAUGGUGGGACUGUCCUUUUUUCUUGUUUUCCCCUUUCCAGCUUCCCUGAUCUAAGAGGAAUGGAGGGGGAACCAGGGAAUCAAGGCCUCCUCAUUAGGUGACAGAUCAUGUGGGGACCAACCAGUGAGAGUCACGAACCAAAGGCUGUUUCUUGCCAUUUGUACCACACAUGUUAAGAUAACCUCUGUACUGCCAGGGCAAAAGCCAGCUGUGUAGUCUACUCAGUGAUUUUCUUCUGUGUGUGUUUGCUGGUAGGAUAGGAUUUAAUCCACAGAGUAAGAAACCAUGGAAAAAUUACAGAUUAUACAGUAUACAGCUUCCUAGAAGGAAGGUUUCAUCUUGCUCCCACCUGAUACUGUGGAGAAAAAUAACAAUUUAUGUCGGAGAACAAGAAUGCAGCCAGCCUGCCACAAAGGGUGCUAUUUAGUAGAAGUGAUCCUAUUUUAUACUUGAGAGUAGAGCAAAAAGGAAAAUAGUCACUAAUGCUUAUUUCUUCACAGAAACUGGACACAUCUGAUAAUGUCUUUGUGCUGUUUUGGGUUUUUUUUCUACCCCAGCACAGUAGGAGGCAAAUGCAUGCAGAUGCUCUAAUACUUCCACUUCUGUACUGUCCAAGUAGUCCAUGACCACUACUUUGCCUGUAUCAGAGGCCAGCAAAGCCAGGACAGUGAGCACAUACAGGGUGAAGCUACUGCUGGCAAGAGCCUAUUGCAUCUGGAGGAUGCUCAGUGAUCUCUUCUGGCCUUGCUGCAGCUCCAGCUCUCUUCCUGCAGCUCCUUUUUUCCUUCAGAAGAGCUAG
rnacentral:lncRNA from 1 species